GGUUAAAAAGCUCGUAGUUGGAUUUCUGUUGAGGUCAGCCGGUGUGCACUUCGUGCAUUAUUUGGUUUGGUCUCGGCAUCCUCCUGGGGAGCGUUUCUGGCCUUUGUUGGACAGGACGAGAUUCAGGACUUUUACUUUGAGGAAAUUAGAGUGUUCACGGCGGGCAAGUGCUUUGAAUACAUUAGCAUGGAAUAAUAAUAUAGGACCUUCGUUCUAUUUUGUUGGUUUCUAGAGCUUAGGUAAUGAUUAAUAGGGACAAUUGGGGGCAUUCGUAUUAACGCGUCAGAGGUGGAAUUCUUGGAUUGCGUUACGACGAACUACUGCGAAAGCAUUUGCCAAAGAUGUUUUCAUUGAUCAAGAACGAAAGUAUGGGGAUCGAAGACGCUUAGAUACCGUCGUAGUCUAUACCAUAAACUAUGCCAACUAGAGAUUGGUGGGGUUCUCCUAUGUGGCUCCAUCAGCAUCUUAUGAGAAGUCAAAGUUUUUGGGUUCCGGGGGGAGUUUGGUCGCAAGGCUGAAACUUAAAGGAAUUGACGGAAGGGCACCACCAGGAGUGGAGCCUGCGGCUUAAUUUGACUCAACACGGGAAAACUUACCAAGUCCAGACAUAGUAAGGAUUGACAGAUUGAUAGCUCUUUC
rnacentral:rRNA from 1 species